AGUGAACGCUGGCGGUAGGCCUAACACAUGCAAGUCGAACGGCAGCACAGUAAGAGCUUGCUCUUACGGGUGGCGAGUGGCGGACGGGUGAGGAAUACAUCGGAAUCUACUUUUUCGUGGGGGAUAACGUAGGGAAAAUUACGCUAAUACCGCAUACGACCUACGGGUGAAAGCAGGGGCUCUUCGGACCUUGCGCGAUUGAAUGAGCCGAUGUCGGAUUAGCUAGUUGGCGGGGUAAAGGCCCACCAAGGCGACGAUCCGUAGCUGGUCUGAGAGGAUGAACAGCCACACUGGAACUGAGACACGGUCCAGACUCCUACGGGAGGCAGCAGUGGGGAAUAGUGGACAAUGGGCGCAAGCCUGAUCCAGCCAUACCGCGUUGGUGAAGAAGGCCUUCGGGUUGUAAAGCCCUUUUGUUGGGAAAGAAAAGCAGCAGGUUAAUACCCCGCUGUUCUGACGGUACCCAAAGAAUAAGCACCGGCUAACUUCGUG
rnacentral:rRNA from 1 species